rnacentral:misc_RNA from 1 species
UCACAUUGCUAUCGGAUACGCGCUGGCAUCGCAGUACAACCAGCCGCGUCUGUCUGAGACUGAGCACCCUCACUCGCACGUAAACGCAGAGAGAGAGGCGCGCAAGGACGUGUGAGGCACUCAGACCCGACACGCUGUGUGCCACACGCACACUGCCUCACAGCCCCCUCCCCUCUCAUUGCCAGUACCGCCCAGGCCACCAUAUUACGUAGCGGAAGUGGCAAGAGCUCUCCUUCCUCCUCUACUCUCCCGCUCUGUCGCGCCGCUGUUCCUGUGUGCACCUCCGCGCACUCUUCGCGGUUGUUGUCGGGAACCCCUUCCGCUCACUGCCGCCGCCGCCGCCGUAGCCGUAGCCGAGCGCACAUACUCACUCGACUUUUUCAGCAUGUUCUGGCGUGCGUCCCCACGCGCGAUUCCUUUGGCCUUUUCUUUGUGUGUGCGCGUGCGCUAAUUGCACCGCCAUCCGUGUGUACCCCCCCCUCCAUCCCAUCUCAUCUCCACCUCUCCGUCCUUUCCACCUUCCCUUAGCAUCACCCGCCCAUCAGCGCCGUCGUGGCCGCGUGUGUUCGUGUUUUCGCACGCUCUCCUCCACCUCGUCUUGCCCCACCUGACCUUCUUGUGUUGAUUGUAGGGCAUAGCUUGCACCCUAUCUCUCCGCAUCGUCUGAUACACCAGCGACCGUGAAGAGGCCGCACCAGUGGUGUGCGGAAUAGCGUGCGCAGGCUGUUUGCCACCACAAGCCGUCUGCAGCCCCCUCCCCUCCCCUGCCGUCUGCCUUUCCGUUUUGAAAGCGAAAGAAAAUGCGCCUGCCAUCGCUGCCCUUCCGGACAUGUCUCACCCCCUCGGCUGCGACCACCAUGACGGCGAGAACUGGGUACCACCUCAAGCGGGCAUCGUGCGCCGCUGCGGUGUUCUUCCACUCGAGCCACCGCUGCUGCGCUGCUGUCGGCGCUGCCUCUCUGUGUCGGGUUUCUCUCCCUUGCCACCCACUGCUGUUGCUGAUGGCGAUGCACAGUGACGCGGCGACGAUCUCGCCGGCGGUAGCUAGCCCUCAGCGUCUGCGUGGGCACACCACCUCCGCGCGCGUCUCACGGUCGUUGCCACCGCUAUCCUUGACCUCGUCGCUGUCUCACGCCUCCUCGUCGUCCGCUCACCGCUGCCCCCCCAUCGAGGCAUUCACGGCGAGUGGCGGUCACUCCGCCAUGGCGGCGUGUUGCAUGGCGCGCCGCCACGCCUCGACUGGUCGCCGCCCCACCUUCACCGAAAUCGCAGAGGCGCUACAGGUGCUGGAGGUUAGCAUCGACGUGGACCCGAAGGCGCUCAAGAAGAGGUACCGCGAACUUGUAAAGAAGAACCACCCUGACGCUGGUGGGGAGGAGGCGACGAUGGCCCGCGUCACUGUCGCCUACGAGCGCCUCAGCGAGCUCACGAAUCGGGAGAGGGAAGAGUUUAAGCUGCAGAAGAAGAUGUUUCACAGCGGCAGCGGUGCGUCUUCGGCAGCAUCGCGGCGCUACCGUCCCAGCCCACCGGGCGGCUUCGGGUACGCGGCUCCAGACGAACCGUUCCAGGCACAGGCGGCGAACAUGUACGGGCAGUAUUAUCAGCAAGACGCCAACAACGCCUACCACCGGGCACACGACAAAGGGCACAACGGCUACUGGAACCACUUCCACAACCGCGGCGGCUCCGGUGGCUUCGCCGAGAACCCCUUCACUUCCAGAAGUCCGUUCAGCAUGUACGCGCAGGCACAGCGCGCCCGCUUCAUGCCGCCUGGAUCGCUGCUCAUCCAAGGGUUGGUUGUCUACCUUGUCUUGUCCACCAUGUUCCUCUUCGCUUAUCGGUCGUACCGCGACUGGCGGCACGAUGACGGCUGGCGCAUGUCGGAGAGCCUGGCGCGACAUGAGCAGAUGGAAGAGCUGCACCGCAUUCGACAAGAGAUGAACGAACGCGCGCGCGCCAUGCAGCACCUCGACGACGAAGACGCGACCGCCGCGUCGUACCGCAGUCGGCAGUACGUCGGGGAGUCGCCCACGGCUCGCGCGUACGAGUACGCCCGUCAGCGCCGGAUUCAAAUGAUGCAGGAGCAGCAAGAGACUGCCGCGAACCUGCCGGAGCUGCGCGGGUGGCCUAGGAUCGGGGAAGACAAGGGGCGCAUCAUCAAGCGUGCGCAGGACCCGUCUGGCAUUGUAUUCUUCGAGCCUCGCAAGGAGGACAGCCGGCGCCGCCAGAUCGAGAAUCAUCGCAGGGGCAGCGGCUUUACGCGCGCCUCUUCGAAUGAGUCGCCGCCGCCACAGCUGAACGAGGCUGCUCAAGUUCCUCUGUGUGACGCGGCGACUGCGGCGGCGGCGACUGCAUCGUCGCUUGCCGCAGACAGCAGCGCCCCGCUACCACCCGAAGCGAACGUCAGCUCAGUUGUGGUGAAGCCGGUGGGUAGUGAGCAGGAGGCGCAGGCCGUCAUGCGCGGCAUCUUCGGUGAUCUUCGCAAGAUCGUCUCGUAGAGAGCAGGCACGUUCGUUUGCACCUCCCUUUUUCGAUGCCGCGGCUGUGUGCACACGUGUGAGCCUGCGUUGUGGCUGAUCAUGAUUUCUUUGAUGCUGUUGUUGAUUGAUCUACGUGCGUCGUGAUGCCGUGGCACCAUGCCCCUCUGUCUCCUUCCCUCUGUGCAUAGGCGCGCACCAGGGCGGCAACAACGGGGCGUUCUCUGCAUAUGUGUGUGUGUGUGACUCCCGCCGGUUGCGCAUGCACGUGUGCGUGUGCACGGAGCACCCUCAGCGGGCUACCACGGCUGCCGGUACGUCCACGGACUCUCGCACCUCUCUCGCCCGCGUCUUCUUCUUCGCUUCGCCGCCAUGCGUGCGUGUGUGCAGUCCACGGCUUUCGGUUGUGAUGGCGCAUUCUUCGACAGUGGUGUUCUUCGUCCAAAGGGCAUCUUCUCCUCCCCUAAAGUCUUCCUCGUCCUCACCGCUGUUCUUGUCGCUCACUUUCGCUCGGCUGUCGUACUCCCCCCGCGCUCACCCACAGCGCGCA